GAUGAACGCUAGCGACAGGCUUAACACAUGCAAGUCGAGGGGCAGCGGGGGUGAUGGCUUGCCAUCACCUGCCGGCGACCGGCGCACGGGUGAGUAACACGUAUGAAACCUGCCCGUAGCAGGGGGAUAAGCGGAAGAAAUUCCGUCUAAUACCGCGUAACAACCCAUGGAGGCAUCUCCGUGGGUUUAAAGGAAGCGAUUCCGGCUACGGAUGGUCAUGCGUCGCAUUAGCUAGUUGGCGGGGUAACGGCCCACCAAGGCGACGAUGCGUAGGGGUUCUGAGAGGAAGGUCCCCCACACUGGUACUGAGACACGGACCAG
rnacentral:rRNA from 1 species